rnacentral:rRNA from 1 species
AUUCCCUACGGGACGCAGCAGUAGGGAAUCUCCCACAAUGGACGAAAGUCUGAUGGAGCAACGCCGCGUGAGUGAAGAAGGGUUUCGGCUCGUAAAGCUCUGUUGGUAGUGAAGAAAGAUAGAGGUAGUAACUGGCCUUUAUUUGACGGUAAUUACUUAGAAAGUCACGGCUAACUACGUGCCAGCAGCCGCGGUAAUACGUAGGUGGCAAGCGUUGUCCGGAUUUAUUGGGCGUAAAGCGAGUGCAGGCGGUUCAGUAAGUCUGAUGUGAAAAGCUUCCGCUCCAAC